GGGCCUUUAGGAAGGCCUGGCCAGUCUCAAUACUUUGUUGUGCUUUCUACUUGUACCCAAACCUUUAAUGGGGCAGAAGGAAAGGCCCGGCCCGUCAAACGGAGCGAGAUAGAGUAACAGAGAUGCCUCUCGAUUCCACCUUCGCCAUCGGCGCUGCAGCCCUGUUUCGGCGGUUGCAUUACCAAACGUUGAAGGGAAGAAGAGCGAGUUGAAGUUUCUGGUAGUUUUGUGUGCAUUAAUUUUCCUUUUGGGUGUCUUUUUGGCGGCGGCUGACGGAUACGGAUGUUCUUUGCAAUGAAGUAGCCAAGUAGGUAAUGAGGAAUGCAAGGCGCCCAAGUGGAAGAAUUUGGAUUCUGAUGAACUGGGUAUCAGAAAUUCAAUGAUUUCAGAACCUACACGAGUAGUACUUAAGAAGCUGAAGAAAAUUGGUUGAAGAUGCUAUUGUUCUUGCAUUGGCACAACAGCGACGGGAAAACUCUCUUUGACUGUUGAUCUCAGGCAUGCUUUGUAAAAUUUGGUGGUAUAUCUGGACGUUCUUAAUUAUUAUAUCAAAUCACCAGGUGAUCCAAAGUUUGUGGAGGCAUUUGGUAAGUUAUAGCUGGGUUUGGGACUGGACUUUGUUUCUGUAAUUUACUACCCUAUUGCUGAAGUAAAGAUAUUAUGCCAGCACUCCCAAACAAAGUUAAUAGACAUAUCCUUAGAGUAAUAUUUUGCACCAAAAAGAAAACUUCUUGAUUUCCAUCUAUGAUCAAUCCGAUAUUUGAGGAGAAAGUUAUGUUAAAAAUACUAAGAUAUGCUGUGACAGUGCAAGAAUGUCUUAAUAAUCCUUUCCUUUUGCUCGCUCUCUCUCUCUCGGGUUUCUCAGAACCAAGCUCAGAGGAGUCUGAAGGCGUACUUUUCAAGGAGGUCAGUUAUUUAUUUUUGCCUUUUGUGCAUUGAACAUAUUGCCAUAGCACACUGAAUCUGAUACUGUCUGAUCAUGUAUGUAUUUUGCAAGGCCCAUCGUAUGGAGGAGGUUAUUCACACUUCAUUCCGCAAACAUUUGUAGUGAUUUUUACUUAGCGAACAGUUGCAUUGUGCAUUACCAUUUUGAUUCCAUGUUAAUAUUACCAAACACAAAAGAUUCAUUUUGAUUCUCAUUCUAUUCAAAUUCCCAUUUGGAAAUGCAUUUCCAUUUCAUUUCACACCGGCUAGCAAACAUUGCCGUAGUUUUAAAGAUGAAAAUUCUGCUAGUGUUAUAUGCUGACACAUGCUAGUAUGCUACCAAUGCCGUUCCAACACAAUUUUGACUCGGAUGUAUGCUUCUCCUUAUUCCUUAAUGACCACUCAUUUUGGUUUCUUCCUGCUUAGUUGAGCAAGGCUGGAGCUCAGGAAGUUGGGCAUUGAGCGUAGAUUAUGGGACGCAUCAAGCAAGAAAAGCGAUCAGGACCCUUUGUUAUCUUGGAAUUUUGGAAAUCUGCCUUUUAAUUUAAAUUACUUGCUUUACAGUUUUUUAUCCUAGAUGUUUGUAGCACUUUUUAUUCGUUUGACCUUCAUCUAUAUACAUCUUUCUCAGGGCUCCUGUAUCUCAGAAAUCUGCCAGAUAAUUGAACUGAUCUGUUUGAAUGUCUACACUAUAAAGUUGGGUUUAUAUAUAUAUUAUCAAGGCAUAUGUACAUUCUUCCUGUUGUUAAAUGUAAGGGCAUGGACAAAAUUUGGUCUUAGUUGUCUUAGAGAAUUGUUUUGAAUUGUUUGCCCUCUCUGUAUCCUCAACUUAUUCACAGCCUGUUUUGGUUUGCCUUGUUGAACUCAAUGAGGAUCGAACUCAAGCCUUCCCAAGUCUA